rnacentral:rRNA from 1 species
GACAGAGGAGCCAAGCGUUGUCCGGACUGACUGGGCGUAAAGCGCCCGCAGGCGGUCGCGUCAGUGCCGUGUGAAAGCCGGCGGCUUAACUGCCGGAGCCAUGGCAGACCGCGCGACUGGAGCGAUGCAGAGGUGGUGGAAUUGCCGGUGUAGUGGUGAAAUGCGUAGAGAUCGGCAGGAACACCAAGGGGGAACCCAGCCACCUGGCAUCGGCUGACGCUGAGGGCGACAGCGUGGGAGCGAACCGG